UACAGAGGUCCCAAGCGUUGUUCGGAUUCAUUGGGCGUAAAGGGUGCGUAGGCGGCGCGGUAAGUCGGGUGUGAAAUCUCGGGGCUUAACUCCGAAACUGCAUUUGAUACUGGCGUGCUUGAGGACUGGAGAGGAGACUGGAAUUCAUGGUGUAGCAGUGAAAUGCGUAGAGAUCAUGAGGAAGACCAGUGGCGAAGGCGGGUCUCUGGACAGUUCCUGACACUGAGGCACGAAGGCCAGGGGAGCAAACGGG
rnacentral:rRNA from 1 species